AAAUAAAUAAUCAAAUUGCGCACAAUUCCUCUCUCUCUCUAUCUACACUCUGUGUCCGUACCCUCUGUACGGAAGACUCUAUUUGGAAUCAUAGCCGUAAGAAGUGGGUAGUCUUGUUUCUAAUUGAGAGGCGAAAUCCAAACUCCAAAUCCAGAUUGAGGAUUCUAACAUCGUUCCUUCAAAUUCACUUCCUCAUUUGUGUUUUUCGAAAGGUCAUGGCGGGGGAAAAAAUCAUAGUUAUAUGUCAAUCUGGGGGUGAAUUUGUGAAUGGUAAAGAUGGUACAUUGUCUUACAAGGGAGGUGAUGCUCAUGCCAUAGACAUUGAUGAUCAGAUUAAGUUUAAUGACUUUAAGACGGAAGUUGCGGAGAUGUUCAAUUAUAGCAUCAAUUCGAUGUCUAUUAAAUACUUUCUUCCCGGAAACAAGAAGACCCUCAUUACGAUUUCAAACGACAAGGAUUUAAACCGCAUGAUAAAGUUCCAUGGGAAUUCUGCCACGGCAGAUGUUUAUGUCAUAAUGGAAGAGGUUGUCGCGCCGGAUGUCUCGAACAUGCCCGCCAGUAGGUCGAGCAGGACGACUUUGUCGGAAACUGUGGUUCCAAUUGAUGCCGCCCCUGAUGUCGUGAAUGAUGUUGUGGGUGAUACUGCCCAACACGAUAUGGCAAUCGAUGUUGCCGAUGAUAAAAACCAAGUUGAUGCUCAGGUCGGUGUGCCAGCUGGGGUUGCACCCAUUUUUCCUCUUGUUGGUCCAAACAAUGAGAAGAAUGCUAAAUCUGCGCAGCAGUGGCAGAAUUCUAUAACUGGUGUGGGUCAAAGAUUCAGUGGUGUUCAUGAAUUUCGAGAGUCAUUGCGUAAAUAUGCCAUUGCGCAUCAGUUUGCAUUUAGGUAUAAGAAGAAUGAUAGUCAUCGGGUGACUGUCAAGUGCAAAGCGGAAGAUUGCCCUUGGAGAAUUCAUGCAUCGCGGUUGUCAACUACUCAAUUGAUAUGCAUUAAGAAAAUGAACCCGAUCCAUACUUGUGAAGGAGCUGUUGCAACAACUGGGCAUCAGGCGACUAGGAGUUGGGUGGCAAGCAUUAUUAAGGAGAAGUUAAAAGUUCUCCCAAAUUAUAAGCCCAAGGAUAUCGUAAAUGACAUCAAGCAAGAAUACGGAAUACAGUUGAACUACUUUCAAGCCUGGCGUGGGAAGGAAAUUGCAAAGGAGCAGCUUCAGGGAUCAUACAAAGAGGCAUAUAAUCAGUUACCUUCCUUCUGCGAGAGGAUAAUGGAGACCAAUCCGGGUAGUCUAGCCAAUUUUACCACUAAGGAAGACUCCAGUUUCCAUCGCCUGUUUGUCUCAUUCCAUGCCUCACUGUAUGGUUUCCAACAAGGUUGCAGGCCUCUGCUUUUCCUCGAUGCCUUACCCUUGAAGUCAAAGUACCAAGGCACUUUAUUAGCUGCAACAUCGGCAGAUGGGGACGAUGGCGUUUUCCCUGUUGCUUUCGCUGUGGUUGAUGCAGAGACUGAUGACAACUGGCAUUGGUUUUUAUUACAACUUAAAUUAGCAUUAAUAACAUCUUGUCCACUGACAUUUGUGGCAGACAGACAGAGGGGUUUAAAGGAAUCGAUUGCAGAGAUAUUCAAGGGUUCUUUCCAUGGUUACUGCCUACGGUACUUGACUGAGCAACUUCUUAAAGACCUGAAAGGACAGUUUUCUCAUGAGGUGAAACGCCUAAUGGUUGAGGAUUUUUAUGCUGCUGCUUAUGCACCAAAGCCCGAAAGCUUCCAAAGGAGUAUUGAGAGCAUCAAAGGUAUUUCACUGGAGGCUUACAAUUGGAUUGUACAAAGUGACCCACAGAACUGGGCAAAUGCCUUUUUUCAGGGUGCCAGAUAUAACCACAUGUCAUCAAAUUUUGGGGAGUUGUUCUACAGUUGGGCUUCUGAUGCACAUGAGUUGCCAAUAACUCAAAUGGUUGACGUAAUAAGGGGUAAGAUUAUGGAGUUGAUGUAUACACGGCGGACAGAAUCUAACCAGUGGUUGACAAGGCUCACUCCAUCCAUGGAGGAAAAGCUAGAAAAAGAAAACCAGCAAGUCCGUGGACUUCAUGUGUUACUGUCAGCUGGUAGCACAUUUGAGGUCCGUGGUGAUUCGAUUGAAAUUGUAAACAUUGAUCACUGGGACUGUAGUUGCAGGGGGUGGCAGCUUACCGGUUUGCCUUGCUGCCACGCAACUGCUGUCAUUAGUUGUUUAGCUCAAAGCCCCUAUGAUUAUUGCUCAAGAUAUUACACAACCGAGAGCUACAGAUUAACAUACUCAGAGUCAAUCCAUCCUGUUCCAAACGUGGAGAUGCCUUUGCUGCAAGAUUCUUCUAAAACUACUCUAGCUGUAACCGUAACCCCUCCUCCUACACGUCGUCCUCCAGGACGGCCCACAACAAAGAAACAAGGAUCACAAGACAUGUCUAAACGUCAACUGCAGUGCAGCCGAUGUAAGGGUCUCGGCCACAACAAGUCCACCUGCAAGGAAAUAGUAUGGAGCGCUACGACAGUAAUCGACAUUUUAACAUGGCAAGGCUGAUCAUCUCCAUUUUUGCAUUGCCAGUUAGUCAACCAUUUACACGUCUCAUCUGAAGCAGAGUGUUUAUUACAUAUCCAUGUGCUUCAUUCAUGCACGUCUAGUAUUUGAUUGGCAGUGAUUGCAUCACUGGACCAACAGCAUCAUAAUCUGUACAUCUAACAAGCUCUUUACGAGGGACAGAGAUUUGGAGGACCCCAUAUUUUUGUUUAAGAUAACUUAAAUGUAUGUAAUUAUUAGUUUCUCUGCAUUUCUUUCCUUCUCUAGUUGUAAUGUCAAUCAACUUGGGUACCUGGUAUUAUGAAGAUUUAGAUUUAGUGCCCAUGUAUUAGGAUAAAACUAUUCACUUAGAAAAUUAGUUUGAGGUUGCACUCUCUGUCAGCCAGAUUUACAGGACAUUACUUCUUGAUUUAACUUUUUUUGUAAAAGAUGACCCAUCUCUUGGUACUUCUGAAUGGUGAAAUACAGCUUAUAAUGGAUGUUUCUCAUUCAUGAUUUCGAGUUCCAAAGUUGAUACAAAGAGGUUUGGAGAUGCCCGUGAUUUUCAACGUCAAGACUCGAAAGGCUCAUUUUCUUGUUUGGGGUCACAAGGGCAGAAAAAUCCAAACUGGGCCCGAGGAUCAAAAUGUUUAUCUAUACCGCAAGUAGGCUCCACCUUUGAUCAUAAAGACUAAACAGAAAGAAAAUGAGCAUGGGUGUAUCUUGUUUGGAGAAAUUUAUGAGCCAAGUCUAUU